rnacentral:rRNA from 1 species
GAUGAACGCUAGCUACAGGCUUAACACAUGCAAGUCGAGGGAACGGCGCACGGGUGAGUAACACGUAACCAACCUGCCCUUUACUCGGGGAUAGCCUUUCGAAAGAAAGAAUAAUACCAGAUGUAAAGGAUGGGGAUGAGUUCCAUUCGGUUGUUGGUGAGGUAACGGCUCACCAAGCCUUCGAUGGAUAGGGGUUCUGAGAGGAAGCCACCCCACAUUGGAACUACGACACAGUCCAAACUCCUACGCGAGGCAGCAGUCAAGUAUAUUAGUCGAUUGGCGUUAGUCUGCACCAGCCAAGUGGCGUGAAGAAUGCAGGCUUAUGGAUCGUAAACUUCUUUUAUGUAAGAAUAUGUAUUCUCUGAAUAAGGAUCGGCUAACUCCGUGCCAGCCGCCGCGGUAAUUC